rnacentral:rRNA from 1 species
UACGGGGGGAGCAAGCGUUGUUCGGAUUUACUGGGCGUAAAGGGCGCGUAGGCGGCCACCGCAAGUCGGUUGUGAAAUCUCUGGGCUUAACCCAGAAAGGUCAACCGAUACUGCGGGGCUAGAGUGCAGAAGGGGCAACUGGAAUUCUCGGUGUAGCGGUGAAAUGCGUAGAUAUUGGGAGGAACACCAGUGGCGAAGGCGGCUCGCUGGACCGGUUCUGACGCUGAUGCGCGAAAGCGUGGGGAGCAAACGGG